CAGUCGAACGAACUCUGGUAUUGAUUGGUGCUUGCAUCAUGAUUUACAUUUGAGUGGAGUGGCGAACUGGUGAGUAACACGUGGGAAACCUGCCCAGAAGCGGGGGAUAACACCUGGAAACAGAUGCUAAUACCGCAUAACAACUUGGAACCGCAUGGUCCGAGCUUGAAAGAUGGCUUUGGCUAUCACUUUUGGAUGGUCCCGCGGCGUAUUAGCUAGAUGGUGGGGUAACGGCUCACCAUUGGCAAUGAUACGUAGCCGACCUGAGAGGGUAAUCGGCCACAUUGGGACUGAGACACGGCCCAAACUCCUACGGGAGGCAGCAGUAGGGAAUCCUUCCACAAUGGACGAAAGUCUGAUGGAGCAACGCCCGCGUGAGUGAAGAAGGGUUUCGGCCUCGUAAAACUUUUGUUGUUAAAGAAAGAACAUAUUCUGAGAGUAACUGUUCAGGGUGGUGGACGGUAUUCAACCCAGAAAGCCACGGGCUAACUACGUUGCCAGCAGCCGCGGUAAUACGUAAGGUGGCAAAGCGUUGUCCGGAUUUAUUGGGCGUAAAGCGAGCGCAGGCGGUUUUUAAGUCUGAUGUGAAAGCCUUCGGCUCAACCGAAAGAAGU
rnacentral:rRNA from 2 species